AUGAGUCCGGUCAAGCCGGUGGGAGGCAAUGCUGGAAAAGUUGCCUUGGAUGAAGAUUCUCAUACAAUGACUCUUGACAUGGGUGAGGCUAAUAAGAAGCUUCGCAUCACUAGCAAUGGUAUACAACAACUAUUUGGUUUCCCUCGUGGUGGUCGUUCUGCACCAAGGCCGUUAGAGGACGGAUAUGACAACGCUCUGAUGAAGUUAAGAUGGGAGCUUGACAUUAGCAGGAACAAAGAUAUCAAGACAAAGGAUUUGAGGAAUAAGCUCAAGGUGCUCGUCAAGGAUCCUAGCAAAGAUGACCUUGCUCUGAAAGUGUUCUUCAUUAUUGUGUUUAUGAAGGUUGUGUUGCCUCGUUCUGCCCCGCGUGUUUCCAGAGAGGUAGCAAUGUUUGAGGGUCUCGUGUUUGAGGACAUGGCUAAAAUGGAUUAUUGCCAGCUGAUGGUUGAUGAGCUUAGAAGGGCUGUUGCCAAGUACCAAGAUGGUGAUACCAUGGGGAAGGCAAUCACAGGCUGUGCCAUAGGGCCUGUACUAAUGUACCUUGACUGCCUUAUCCGUGGCAAGACUGCGGAGCCUGACAUGCGAGUCCCCCGCAUAUGUUUCAUGGAUCCUGCCAAGCUUUCUGAUCUGGUUGAUGCAGAUUGGAUAAAAAAAGGUAAUGCAGAUCCAAAUACUUGGGUGUUUGGGAAGCUUCCGUGGAAAACUCAUGAGGAGGUUGUUUUUCCGAGUGUAUAA
rnacentral:rRNA from 1 species